UUUUGUAAAAUGUUAACAGAAUAAGUGACGAAUUGACUAUAUUGACAUUACCUAUUAAAUCAUAGAAAAUAAUGUGCUCUCUAAGACUAUGCUAAAGAAUAUGUCAAGAAAACAUUGACAUUAAGUAGAUAUUUUACUAUAUUAAUUAUACAUUACAUUAUUUUCUUCAUUUGAGUACCUAUACUUUAAUGAUGAAAGGUUUGUGUGAUCUUUCGGUUACUUUUUAUGUUUGUAACUGGAAAAACAAUUAUUAUAAUACGGUGUCCAGAAAUUCUCGUUUAGUUUCUAGUCCGAUUUCUUCUCAAAAUACUUUGUCUUUCCAUGCAUAUUAAAGUAAGAAAAGUAAAUUUCUCCAAAAUGUCAACAAAGCCAGAAAAUGUAAUGCACUCAAAUAAACUAUAGGUCUACCAGAAUCUGAUGGCAAAAAAAAGUUUAAAAAAUACCGAUUUUCACAUGGCAACAAAAAAAACAUCAUCUAUCAAAACUGAAAUUUCGAGAAAUUGUUUUCAUAUUUCCUUUAAAAAGUGGUGAAAAUGUCGAAGAAACCCCUUCGAUCACAAGCAAGAAAUAUUGUUUUCAAUGUUUAUCAAAGAAUACUUGAUGAACAAGGUGUACCAUAAGACGAAUUGUUGCUGAAGGCAGAUCUAACAGAGGCGUAUUUAGUACGCCCGGUAAAAAGAGGAAAGGUGGCAAACAUACUGCGUCUUCCUCGUUUUCCUCUUCCGAUUAAGACUUUUUUAUGGAUGUCCAGUAUUUGGAACCAUUUUCAAGUUCUGAUAGCCUAUAAUUAAUAAAUAAAUUCAUGAACAGAGUAA